rnacentral:rRNA from 1 species
AUUGAACGCUGGCGGCAGGCCUAACACAUGCAAGUCGAAUGGUAACAGGAAACUUCUUGCUGUUUCGCUGACGAGUGGCGGGCGUGUGAGUAAUGUCUGGGAAACUGCCUGAUGGAGGGGGAUCACUACUGGAAACGGUUGCCAAUACCGCAUAACGUCACAAGGCCGAAGAGGGUGGGAUCCCGGCCUCUUGCCAUAGGAUGUGCCCAGGUGGGAUUAGCUAGUAGGUGGGGUAACGGCUCACCUAGGCGACGAUCCCUAGCUGGUCUGAGAGGAUGACCAGCCACACUGGAACUGAGACACGGUCCAGACUCCUACGGGAGGCAGCAGUGGGGAAUAUUGGACAAAGGGCGCAAGCCUGAUGCAGCCAUGCCGCGUGUAUGAAGAAGGCCUUCGGGUUGUAAAGUACUUUCAGCGGGGAGGAAGGGAGUUAAGUUAAUACCUUUGCUCAUUGACGUUACCCGCAGAAGAAGCACCGGCUAACUCCGUG